UACAGAACUCAGUCAAUUUCAAAGCUUUAAUCUUUUUAUCUUCAAAUUGCACCAAUUGGACUAUUCUUUAUUCACUUUGAUCAUUUUGCUCUUGUACCUGAAAAUCAAUAAAACACUACCAAAGCAGUCUGUUCCAAGCAUAAAAACAUAAUGAAUAAAUCCUUACAAAUAACAUAUUUUUAUGCUAAACAAUAACUUAGUGGAUCGCAUGGCCAUCGUGCCAACGACGCAUCAUUCAAAUUUCUGCCCUAUAACUUUCAAUGGUGGGAUAGUGGCCUACCAUGGUGGUGACGGGUGAUGGAGAAUUAUGGUUCGCUUCCGGAGAGGGAGCCUGAGAAACUGCUACCACAUCCAAGGAAGGUAGUAGGUGCGCAAAUUACCCAAUCCUGACAUGAGGAGGUGGUGACA
rnacentral:ncRNA from 1 species